rnacentral:lncRNA from 1 species
UUAUAAAAAAUAUAUACCUAAAAAUAAUAUAUAUUUAGUGAUAACAUAUAUCUUUUGUGACAUAUAAAAAAUUGUCAUAUAAUAAUUUUAUUUUUUGAAAAAUUGUGGAGUUUUUGGGAUUACCAGGUUGGAUGUAAUGGAAUAGGAUUACUAGAAUGUUGGGGAUGGGAUGGUCGGCCUGAUGGGGAUGUACGGGCUAAUCGGGAUUGAGAAGACGGGUUAGUCAGGAUGGACGUGAUAAAUUAGGUUGACUAUUGGGAUGUACGAGAUGGACGGGUUGACGGGAAUGACCAAUAUGUACUGGAUGGACUGGAUGGUUUGACGGGAUAGAAUGGACAAGAUGGACAAGCUGGCUAGGAUGGACAUGAUGGACAAGGAUGUCUGGACGACCAUGAUGUACCAGUGGACGUGUUGACGAAAUGACCGAGAUGGACGAGAUGACUGGGAUGAUAGGGAUGGAAAAGGUUUUUCGAGAUUGAGGGGACAAAUUGGUUGGGAUGGACGAGAUGUAUGAGAUGGAUGGGUCGAUGGGAUGGUCGGGAUAGAUCUGAAUGUUGAGCAAGCCUUGGUCGUCGGGAUGAACGAUAUGGUCGGGAUGAAUCUGAAUAUUGUGCUAGCCUUAGUGGCUAGGAUGGACGAUAUGAUUGAGCUAGCCUUGAUGGUCGGAUGGAUGUGAAUGUUGGACUAUCGUGAUGACUAGGCUGAUGUGGAUGGACAUGAUGUAAGUGAUGUAACAGAUGGACCACAUUGAUUGAUGAUUGGGAUGAAUUGGAUGGACAAACUAACGGGGUGGUCGGGCUAGCCGAGGUUGAUGGAUUGGUCAAACUGGCUUGAUGGACGAACUAAUGGUGAUGGACGAGCUAACAUAAUGUCUAGGAUGGACUGCAUGACUUGAUUGACUGGAUGGCUAGGAUCGAAAGGAUGACCGAUAUGGCUAGACUAACCUUGAUGGUUAGGAUGGAUGUGAAUAUCAGAUUGUCGUGAUGGUCAGACUAGCGAGAUGACUAUGAUAGAUCGACUAACCUAUCUGACCGAGAUAGAUUGGAUGGACUGAUUGACAAAAAUAGCCAAACUAAUUUAAUGAUUAUGUUGAUGGGUUGAUAAGAUAACUUAUCUGACAUAAUGAUCAAAUUGGCUAAGCUAGUCUGACUAGUCAAAUUGAAUAAGUUAAUUAAACUGGCUAAAAUAAAUAA